rnacentral:lncRNA from 1 species
AAGCCGUUCCUCUCCUUCUCCUUUCUCUAGCUCUCCUCACCCGUGAGGCUUCGCUCGGUUACGCUUUCCCCUGUUGGGAUCGAAGCCGGAACCCGGUCAAACCCCGGGGUUUUGCCCCGACCGGGAUUAAAUCCUUGUGAACCAGUUAACUGUCUUCGGUUAAAUUCGACCGGGGUUACAUCCCGUCCAAAAUCGUUGUGUUUCAGCGGGGAAUCAACCCCCACCUCUCCACCCGUAGAAUCAACCCCCGCCUCUCCUCCCAAAAAAAGAAGGCGCCUCCUCCUCUCGCGAACCCUAGGCGACAACGACGACGGCGAAGGUGCCGGCCGCGGGGACAGAGGGCACAACAUCGGCGGGAACAAAGAAGCGCCAGCCUUCCACGAGCGUCCUUCCUUCGUCCUCCACGAAUCUAUCAGAGGUACGUACUCCGCCUCGCCUGCGUUUCUAGGCCAGAUCCGUGCCUAAAUCGACCAGAGCUGCCGCCGGCUGCGUUUCUCUGCCAGAUCCGUGCAGAGGAGUGCUCCCCUUUGAUCGAGAAGGGGAGAGGAUGAGAACAGAAGGAGGGGAGGAUACGGGCAUAUGGCUGAAGCGAGGAGGUGAGGGCAGGAGCUCGACCUGGGAGGAGCUGGACUUGCAAGGCCAAGGCCCACACGGAGGUAAAAAUGUCACCUUGAACAUUACACAAAUUUUCUGAAUGUAGCAGGUAAAAACAGAAAUCUGAAUUUAGCAGGCACUUGCCCUGUGCAAGCACCUGCAUAGUCUUCAGCAAACUGUGGUACAGCUUGCUUGUGAGGUCAUAUGAAUUUCUCCACAAAUACCACCACUGCAGCAGCAACGCUGCCGUCCAGACGCCGGCGGCGAUGCCUCACGUCGCACGCGUGCAUUACUCCCUCCUUUCUGGUUUAUAGGGCUCAUCUCAAAAUUUUCAGAUUUCCAUUAUAUUAGGCUCAUUUUGAGUCUAAUUGAGUUAAAGUGAUUUGAGUCCCACGCCAUAUUUAAUACAUAGAGUUUAGAAAAAGGAGAUGAGUGGCUAUGCAUACAUCGUUUUCUACAUCCACUAUCCAAGUCCAAUGAGAAGGAGGAUGCUACAUUUAUUGUCUUGGAAAUUGAAUAUGUGAGAAAUAUUUAAUUGGGUAGUUAAAACUAGUGUAAUCCACUCAUAAUUCACCUUGGUUGAUGAGAUUUCAGAUUUAAGUCCUAUAAACCGGAAAGGAGGGAGUAGCUAGCUUAGGCCCUGUUUGGAACCAUCCAGAUUAUAUAAUCUGGUUUUUAUAAUCUAUUGUAUUUUCAAACAGGACAGUUUAUAUUGUAGAUUUUAUAAACUAGAUGACCAGAUUAUUAUAAUCUCAUAAUCUCCUCUACCCCAGCUAAAAUGAGAUUAUGGAUUACAAAUGACGUGUUAUCCUUGUAAACUUCAAGAGAAUUACGCAGUGCCACCGCCACUUUCCUAUUUUUCCUUAUAAACUGAGGGCAAACAUGUCAUUGUACAAUUUAAAAGCUGGUUUACAGUUUAUAUAAUCUGGCAUCCGAACAUGCCCACCUGGAUUAUUUUUAUAAACCAGAUUAUAUAAUCUAUGUUCAUAAUCCAGAUUAUUAUAAUCUAUUAUGGUUCCAAACAGGGCCUUAGUAGUUUUGCUCUUGUUUAAUUAAUCUAGCGUUUGAGACUUGAUAGGUAUGUAGGUGUCUCUUUCUUUUGGGCACCCCAAAACUGGCAUGCCCAAUCUUCCACUAAUAGCAGUAGUAUUAGUAUCAUUCAGAAUAUCCACGUGCAUAUGUAGAGAUCCUUUUUUGUUUGUUGCUGAGUUUUGUUAUGUAAAUGGCAACGGCUUGCCGCACGCCCUCGUCCGGUGCACCGUGAAUAGCUUGGCACCUAAUUAGUUAUGUAACCAUAAUAUAUAUAUUUUAAUCUUGUCGCUUAAACAAAUAUUUCAAGCAGGGCAGACUGAUUUUAUGUACUCCUAUGUAUUACCAAAAAAAGUUGUAUGUACCAAUGUACUCCUAUGUAUUACUAUUAGUUACUUUUGCAUGUACAUUUGUUUGGACACCUUGCACUAUUGAUAACUAGUGGCCUUUUUCUUCUGUAGUCAUAAAAUGGAUUCAUAUAUGAGGGAUUGCAUUAGGAAGAGGGAGGAGGAGGAUGACGAAAUGAUGCUAUUUGUUUUGCCUGCACUACAUUUGAUGGAGACCGGUGGAGUUUGGAGACAGGUGGAGUUGCUAGUAGGGAGCCGAGGAUUCGGCGUCAUACGUCGUUGCUAACAGGCGAGAUGUUUGUUAAUGAGUUACUCGAAGGACACAUCAAAAACUGCAUGGUAGCAUUUAGGAUGGAACCUCAUAUUUUCAGAUCUUUGGCUGGUUAUCUUCAACGCAAGAAUUUGGUGUCUGACACUAGAAUUAAAGUCGAAGAGAAACUAGCAUCGUUUCUAUGGAUGUUAUCCCACAAUUCUUCCUUCGAAGAUCUUCAAGUUCGUUUUGGUCAUAGCGGGGAUACUUUCCAUGGGCACAUGAAGAAUUUCUUCAACAUCAUCCCUACUCUAUCUAAGCAUUUCUUGAAGCCUCCAAAUCAUGAUCAAGUACAUCCAAAGAUUCAAUCGAGCACGAGAUUCUUUCCUUAUUUUCAGGUUUUUGCUUCGUCAACUUCCAUCCACAUCGUCCAUCCACAUCGAGAUAUUACUCUUUAUGUUUUAGAUGCUAACUUGUACGAUUUUGUUAUAGAACUGCAUUAGGGCCAUUGAUGGGACACAUAUUCCCAUAACAAUUUCAGCAGAAAAGGCCGCAUCGUUCAGAAAUAGGAAAGGGAGCCUGAGCCAUAAUGUUAUGGUCAUGUGUGACUUCGACUUAAACUUCACCUUCAUUUCUUGUGGUUGGGAGGGAUCCGCGACUGAUGCUACAGUUGUUCGCUCAUCACUUAACAAUGGGUUUCAAGUACCUCCGGGCAAGUUUUAUCUGGUUGAUGGCGGUUAUUCCAACACUCCUUACUUCUUGGCACUGUACCGUGGUGUUCGGUACCAUCUCAAGGAGUUUGCACGCGGUCGCCGUCGACCCCAAAAUCAUAGGGAGCUCUUUAAUCAUCGGCAUGCCGUGUUACGAAAUCAUAUCGAACUGUCAUUGGGAGUCUUGAAGAAGCGGUUCCCAAUUCUGAAAGUGGGUACACAUCAUCGAAUAGUGAAUCAAGUCAAGCUUACAGCAGCAGCGGCAAUCUUACAUAACAUCAUUCGAUCUCGCCAAGGAGAUGAGCGUUGGUUAGAUAAUCAACCAAACAACAUAUCUCCCAUGAAUUUUGUGGAUCUUCUUUCAACUUCCAGUUUACUUUCUUUCAUCAAGGAGAAACAGUUGGUUACCCUUACAUUCCUUCAAUUCUAGUUUACUUUCUUUCAUCUCACUCGCUGUAGACCAAUGGUUAUUUCUUUUAUGUGAGAAGCCCAUGACAUGCUUCUUAGUUCUUACCAUGUUUACUUGUGUCAAUUUCUAAAUUGUUCAUUGCAUUUAUACUUUUGAUGUACUGCUAGCGAUAUUUGGUGCUGUAUUUAUGCAGGAAUGAAGAGUUCAUGUGUAGUGGCCAUGUUUGUGGAGGAAUUCAUGACCAACAUCACCAGCACUGAAUGGACACUUUCCAUCUGGCCUAUCAAAUGUUUGGAUAGGAACCACUGUUGGACGCCGAUAGGACAGUCAUUGAGGCGAUGUGCUCUAACUUGACCCCAUGGUGUCGUGUCUGAUAUGUGAUCUGAUGACACCAUGAGCGAUUGCAAGAGGCAUGACUUGUUUGUUGUCGUUGUCGUGGCUGCUAGCAAAAGCACACAAUUAAAUAAUUCAGCAUUGACUCUUUCGUUGAUGAGUAGAAUCUGGUGUGAUUGCUAAACCGUAAAUCCAG